ensembl:lncRNA
AGAAAAUAAAUAAAAUACUCCUAAAAAAACAUGGCUGCUUAAAAAGAGACACCUAACUCUGUAGCAGAGCACCCCAUUUUUCCACCAAUCAGAAGGCCAGAGGACAAUGGAUCACAUCCAAUCAAACAGUUGGUCUAAUUAACCACAACAAGCAUGGUGGAAUGGAAACAACAGAAAGGACAAUGGAUAAAGGAUGAGGUCAGAGGGGACUAUGUGCCAUACUGCAUGAUCAUCUUGACGGCAUACUGCAAGGAUGGGAUUCUAUCACACAACAGGCCUAGGGGGGUAAACACUGUGGUGCAGUCCAUCAGCACGGGGCCACACGGAGCCAACCUUCUGCAGUCCAUUUCCCUCCACCCACAGAGGAAAUACACUGCGCUUUGUUUAUGCUUCAGGGGCCUCCACUGUUCAGAAAUGUGAAAACGGCAGAGAAGAGGAGGGAGACAGAACUUAUCUUCUACUUUCCAUGAGAUUUAGAGGUUUUUACGAAUUAAAAAAAGAAGACACCUCAGUCCCAGCAGAUGGUUGUUGGGAGCCGCGUGUUCUUAACAAUCUGUAAUUCCCCCGUUUAAAGAUGUUCUGUGGUCACCCACUCUGCCCUCAGGACUGUAUCUGCCCUCACAUUAUUAAACUCUGCAUAGAGAACAGUCUGGCAUUGCUGGCCCGAUAGAAAUGUUUUGACACCGGCACCGUGCCGCCCUCUCAGCAGACGCAAUCACAUCAGUUUACCUUCCAAAACACAACGCCAUCUAUUUAUUUAUUUUUUUAUUUAUCCUGCAAAAUGGAUUUUUUUUUUUUUUUUUUUUUUUUUUUUUUUAUUUUUUUAAAAUUUUUUUUUUUUUUUUUUUUUUUAUUUUUUUUUAAAAUUAUUUUUUAUUUUUUUUUUUUUUGUUUUUUUACCCUUUU